CGCAUUAGAUUGUAAAAAAUAGUAUAGUAUUACAAAUUCAUCACAUCUUCUACUAAUUACUCCAAUAAGGUUUUGUUUUUUAUUCUUUUUAUAGAUACAGUUCGGCGAAGGUUUUGAUCUCAGUUUUAUUGCAAAAUUCUUUAUAUUGAUAAGAUUUUUGCUGGUAAAAUGAGUGAUUUGAACGAUGUGAAUUUUGUGAAAUGCGAUUGCUGCUGCCUUUCUGAAGAAUGCACCCGUUGUUACAUCACCACAAUUAGAGAAAUGUACGGAGGGAAAUGGAUUUGCGGGCUUUGUGCGGAGGCCGUGAAAGACGAAGUGCUGCGGUGCGGGAACCCGGACGAAGCCAUGGCCCGCCAUCUCACCUUCUGCACCAACUUUCGGGCCUCCGGGCCCCCGCAGGUGCGCUUGAUUCGGGCCAUGACGCAGUUGCUUAGGAAGUCCUCCAAAUCAAUGCCGAGUAGCCCCCGCGAUGCCACUGUGUUGACUCGCUCCGAGAGUUGUUUGCCGAGUUUAACCCUCGACGACGCAAGCCCGUGACUGAUGAUCAAGGGUAAAAUUGUAAAUUUUUUAUGUUCAAUAAUAACUGUAAAGGAUAUAUUGUUUUGGAUUGAAAAAUGAGACACUUUUUGAAACUA